AUUUAUUCAUGUAUAUAUAGACAUAAGUAGCAAUGUAAUAGGUAUUAGGAUUUUGAUUUUUCAUUUUUAGUUUUCAAUCACCUUAGCCGUGACCUCCAGCAACAUUGCGUUUUACCUAUCAUUGUGUCUUGUGUUCUUGCCGUGGAGGAAGGCCUCGAUGUUCGAACUUGAUACAUGAGCCCAAGUUAUGAACUCUAUAUUUGGACGUGAUUAGUGAAGUGAAAGUGAAUGAACGCACGGUUAAAGUCAAGUUAAAGUCAAGUUAGGAUUAGGGUGUUAGGUUUGUCGUGUUUUGUUUCUAUUUAUUCAUUGUUAAUUAUAUUUACUUG